UUUGAAACCAUUUUCCCCUGUCCUGUUGCCCUGCUAAAGAGUCUGUCCCCUUUCUUAUCCCCUUUCUUACAGCCCCUUCAGACACUGACAGACCUAUAGGUCUCCCCGCAGCCUUCCCUCAUCCAGCUGCACAGCCCAGCUCUCAGCCUGGCCUCGCAGGGAGGUGUUCCAUCCCUGGGAGCAUUUCUGUGGCCCUUCUCCCCAACAGCUCCACGUCUCUCCUGUCCUGAGGACUCCCCAUCUGGGCGCAGUGCUGCAGCAUCCAGGUGGUGACUCCAGCGCGAGGAAGAGAGAGGAAAACCAGGGAAUGACCAACAUCAGACAUCUGCUGUGGGUGGUGUGGAAGUGUUGUGGCUGCAGCUGAUGGUACCAGGGCUAUAGCAACAGAGCUGCAGCUGCUGGAGAAGUCAGUUUAAAUGAGGUGCCUGAGUCAAUCUAACAGCUUGCUGAUGGUACAUGCAGUUCUGCUCCUGUCCUCCUGCAGCUAUUUGUGAGUCUGUGCUGCUUCUGUUGCACCACUUCUGGCAUUCAAUCUGUUCAUUAAACCAGAGGAAAAUUAAAGCAGAGUGAAUACUGUUCUGCCAGUUUAGUCAGUUGAAUCAGCCCAUGGGUUUAUGAGCCAGCGGCAUCCAUCAAAUCAACAUUGCUUGGCUUUGUUGAGCCUCAUGAUGUUCACCUGGGCCCAUUGCUCAGCCUGCCCGCGUCCCUCUGGCUGGCUUCCCUUCCUUCUAUCAACUGCACCACUCAGCUCAGUGCCAUCAGCAAAGUGCUGAGGGUGCACUCAAUCCAUCAUUGGUGUCAUUGGUAGAAAUGCUGAGGAGCAGCAGUGCUGAGAUGGAGCCCUGAGGGACACCACUGCUCACUGAUCUCCAUCGCACACUGAGCCACUGAGUACCUCUCUCAGGGUGCAAUUUUGUUUUUCUGUGCAAAGAAGAAGAAUUUCUUAUAAUGGCAGCUGAGAUUCUUAUGUUAUUACCUGAUUGCAGGGAUUUGGGCUAUAGUCAUAAUAAGACCCCAGUAUUUAUUGCACUGGCUUCUAAAAGCUAAUGCCAUUGCAGGAAUGCUUUCUGAAAGGAGGUGGUGACUGGGGAGAGUUCCUGGUAAUUGAUAAAGGACAAAUGUCUCCAGCUGACGGAAUAUCCUGCACUGAGAUCUAAUUGCAGGGUGCUGCAGGGAACAUGCAUGCUUUGACUUUCAUUUAACAAAUUCUUCUGUUUUGAAUAAAUCCUUCUUAGUCAUAGAAAUAACUAUCUGCUGGGACAACCGCAGUACAUUCUUCUAUUACAAGUUAAAAUGUGUUUUACUUUACCCAUGUGCUCAGUAUUAACGAGAGUUGCAUCUGAGAGGCUCCUAGAAACCACUCAGCUCUUGUGUCUUCUGUGAGAUGAGUUCAUGUGCUCGACUGCAAUCCACAGACCCUGAAUGACACAGUAAAUAUGGACAUUGAUCUCUGACAUGACAGCCUCCUCCUUUCAGCUGUGGGGUGUUCUUUAUCUUACGUUUACGAUGUAUGUCAGCGUUGUCCUCUGCCAGUUCCAUGUUACUGUUUGUUUUCAAAUAUGAAUUCCUGAAGCACUAUAUCAAAUAUUUACCAGCAUUAAGAAUGGUGCGAUAUUGCACUGUGUGCCUUUUUUAAUUAGUCUAUAGAAUAGGCAAAAAAAUAGCCUAUUGCAGGCUUUUUGUAUUAGCUUAUAAUUAGCCUAUGAUAGGCUGGAGCAAUGGGCUGAAGGUGUAUGAGGAUCACCAAGGCUAAGUGUCAGGUCCUGCACUUGGGUCACGCCAAGUCCACGCUGUGCUGCAGGAUGGUGGAAGAGUGGCUGGAAAUUACCCAACAGAAAAGGACUUAGGGGAGACCUGAUCGCUCCCUACGAAUCCCUGAAAGGAGGUUGUGCUGAGGGGGGCUGUGUGCUCCUGGUGACGGUGAUGAAAAGCGAUGGCCUUAAGUUGUGCCAGGGGAGGUUUAUGUUAGCUGUCAGGAGGAAUUUCUUCAUGAAAAAGGUCAUGAAGAAUUGGAAGAGACUGCUCAGGGGAGUAGUUGAGCCACCGUCCCUGGAGGUAUUUAAAAGAUGUGCAGAUGUGGUGCCUAGGGACAUGGCUUAGCGGUAGACUUGGCAGUGCCAGGUUAAUGAUUGGACUCAAUGAUCUUUGAGGUUUUGUCCAACAUAAAUGAUUCUAGGUUCUGUAAUCGAAUCAAAGAAAGGGCUCAGUUCAUUUGCUGUCCAAUUUAACAGUGUCUUACGAAAGCCUGAAGAACAGUAAUGGAUCAUCUUUCUGCGCUAUGACAUUUUGCCAUUCUAUUCAACAUCAGAAGUCUUAGCAUAAGAGUAGACUUGACAGAAGAAGUACAAAAGCAUAAUUGAUCCAGAUGAGGCCAUGGGAGCAGACCAGCUCAGAGGACCCUUCAGGACCGUUAUCAAUGGUUUUAUGAUUCAUGGAAGUCCUCGCAUUGGGCAGAUGAACCAGCAGGAGAAAUGCUGUGGAGACACCUGGGAAUUGGCUUUGGCUACUGCUGCCAACCCAGCUCCAUGCAGGAAAUGCCAACCCACCACAUCAACAACCAAAACACUCUUCUGGGAAGCUUGCUUUCAAACAAUGUCACUCCCCAGAUACUGAAGGACAAAGUUUACCAUUUCAGCUGUUGAAGUAAUUCAACAGUUUUUAUAUUGGGCAUAAAACCAUCUGCUACUUAUUAGAUAACAGAUUUGACCCCGAGUCUUUUGCUCUCCAGCUGUGCUCUGAGUACUGGACUGAAUUGUCCAGGUCUGUUUCUCCUUUCCUCCUUCCCCACUUGAUUUGCAUAUGUACAAAGACAAAAUGUUCCAGCUAGGAACUAUCACAGGGCUGGGGAAAGUUAAGCAGCUCAUCAUUAUCCAGCAGUUAUAAGAAGGAAGGCAGACAGGAGGUUUCCAGGUGUCCUUCUGAAUGCUGAAAAGAAACAAAGGACUCUUUGGAAAGGACACCUCGACAAAGGGCAGGCUCAGAACAUUGCUAUGGAAGCAGAGAAGAUGCCUCUCAGUACAGAGAGAUUAGAUGAACAGGAAGCUUCUUGCAGGAUUCCUUAGGACAUGGGUUUCCAAAUAUCCUGUUUUCCAUUUGCUCACUGGUCUUUAAUCAAUUUAAGCUCUCAUCUCCAGGACUGUUAGCAAUAAUGAAGGAAUCUCAAUCCACCGACCACUUAGAACCAGCUAUAAAGGUAAAGCAGGGUAAUAUUUGUUACAGUCCUACCUAGCAGACAGACUAUGACAUCCCCUCCUCAUCACUGUGAGCAAUUUCUUCCUUAUACUUCACAUCCACCCCAACAACCUUAAUAUCAAAGUUUUUCUUGAUAUUUCACUUAAUUCUUUCCAAAUUCCCUGAUUUCUUGUCUAACCUCUAUGAGUAUGGAGAACAGAUUAUUUACUACUUCUGGCCAGUUGUCUUUUCCCUAUCUCAAGUCUUCAGUUUUCACUCACUCACAUCUUUCAUCCCCAAAGGCUCACAGUAUCCAUGCAUCACUUGAAGACUCUCAAUUCUCACAAAGGCUGAAAAAAAUAGCUUUUUCCUGGCUCAAUCUUAAGCACGUAGUUGCUUCCUAAGGGAGCCUGAGUGCCCAGGAAUUAGACACAGCAAUGUUCAGCUGUCUUUGCUGAAUCUACCUUCAUUUUCUAUGGCUAUGGAAUAAACAUUACCAGAACCAAGGAUGGGUCCUUCUGGCUCCCUUCUGAGGUCCCAAUCAUUCCACACUGACACUGAACAUAUUUUGUUUCAUUUUGGGCAUGCAAAAAAACCAACCAAACAACACAAAACCAACCCAAAACAACACAAAUACAAGAGCAAGGUACUUUUCAGUAAUGUUCAUGCUAUUUAUUUUGUAGUAUUUCUGCACUGGCUAUUGCACACAUGAUCAAAUGUGUAAAAAUGAUUUCCAACAGUAUGUCUUCUUUCUGCAGUUUACCAAAAGUGUAGCUUCAAAUUCAUAUCUGUGAAGUGCUCACAGAACUCACAUGCUUGCUACGUCUUCAUGCCCUGCUGCCUGCACUCAGGCUGCCACCUGUUUUCUUCCAAAGCUGCUAGUUUUAUCAAUUUCAGAUGGACAGGUAUGUGCCACAGGAAAUACAGGUGUUAGAUCCCAUUCUCUAGAAACUUCUUCAGCCUACAUGAAAUGCUGGCAAUAUACAGCAGAAAUACUGAAGUCCUCCAAAUAUGCAUAAGUUUUCCUCCCAUUAGAUUACAAAGACGUGACAGGCUUGGUAGCAUGUGCCAUCUUAUUCUAAAUGUUGCCCCCUAUUUCCUUCUGCAGAAACUACAACAGAUGCAAAGAGUACAAUACCACUGUUUGAUAGAGC